CCUACGGGAGGCAGCAGUGAGGAAUAUUGGUCAAUGGGCUUACGCCUGAACCAGCCAAGUCGCGUGAGGGAAGACUGCCCUAUGGGUUGUAAACCUCUUUUGUCAGGGAGCAACGCCGGCCACGUGUAGCCGGACUGAGAGUACCUGAAGAAAAAGCAUCGGCUAACUCCGUGCCAGCGGCCGCGGUAAUACGGAGGAGGCGAGCGUUAUCCGGAUUUAUUGGGUUUAAGGGGAGCGUAGGUGGAUUGUUAAGUCAGUUGUGAAAGUUUGCGGCUCAACCGUAAAAUUGCAGUUGAAACUGGCAGUCUAGAGUACAGUAGAGGUAGGCGGAAUUCGUGGUGUAGCGGUGAAAUGCUUAGAUAUCACGAAGAACUCCGAUUGCGAAGGCAGCUCACUGGACUGCAACUGACACUGAGGCUCGAAAGUGUGGGUAUCAAACAGGAUUAGAUACCCUUGUAGUC
rnacentral:rRNA from 1 species